UACGAAGGGUGCAAACGUUGCUCGGAAUUAUUGGGCGUAAAGCGCACGUAGGCGGCUUUGCAAGUCGGAUGUGAAAUCCCUCGGCUUAACCCAGGAAGUGCAUUUGAAACUCACGAACUUGAGUCCCGGAGAGGAAGGCGGAAUUCUCGGUGUAGAGGUGAAAUUCGUAGAUAUCGAGAGGAACAUCGGUGGCGAAGGCGGCCUUCUGGACGGUGACUGACGCUGAGAUGCGAAAGCGUGGGGAGCAAACAGG
rnacentral:rRNA from 1 species